rnacentral:rRNA from 1 species
GACGAACGCUGGCGGCGUGCUUAACACAUGCAAGUCGAACGAUGAAGCCUAGCUUGCUAGGUGGAUUAGUGGCGAACGGGUGAGUAAUACGUGAGUGACCUACCUUUGACUCUGGGAUAAGCCUGGGAAACUGGGUCUAAUACCGGAUACGACCAAUCUCCGCAUGGGGUGUGGUGGAAAGCGUUAUGGAGUGGUUUUAGAUGGGCUCACGGCCUAUCAGCUUGUUGGUGAGGUAAUGGCUUACCAAGGCGACGACGGGUAGCCGGCCUGAGAGGGUGACCGGCCACACUGGGACUGAGACACGGCCCAGACUCCUACGGGAGGCAGCAGUGGGGAAUAUUGCACAAUGGGCGCAAGCCUGAUGCAGCGACGCCGCGUGAGGGAUGACGGCCUUUCGGGUUGUAAACCUCUGUUAGCAUCGAAGAGCGAAAGUGACGGUAGGUGC